UCGGCGUCUGUCAAUCAAACCACGACGAUAACAACGUUACGUAUGGUGGCUUCGCUGUUACUUCGAUCGCAAAUGAAUUUGUCAGUAUGGAUAUGCGAAUGUGCUAGGCGUACUCUGCGAUUGUAUGUGGUUUUUUCGUAUGACGUAAGAUUUCACCUGUGUCACAAAUAUAGAAACGCGAGUUCUACUGCUGGAUGCGUAAAAUGGCGCACUCCGAGGAGCGUGAUUCGUUCAUAAAACAAUGACGUUCAAAGGCAAGCAGCCGUGCGAUACCCGUUCAAAGAUUACGAUGGAAAUAGGUCGUGGCACCCGGCAAACGCAUUUCGCCCUAUCUACGGCAUCGAGCCAUUAGCCCUGUUUCGAAAUGUCUUCGAGAGCAAAAUAUUACUUCAAGGUCAAGCUUGCUCCAAUGCACUUAACCGGCGAAAAUUUUUCAGCUGAAAUUUAGAACAUGCCCCAUAACUUCCAGUGAAUACGACAUACGUUUUUUUCUACAUGAUUUUGUUCUGUCGGCCUGAUCUUUCCCACUUAAUCUAAUUGGACUACGUGAUAUGUAACUGUAGGCCUUAUUCUCCUGGAGAUAUUCAUAUAAAUUAUGGACUACGUAAU
rnacentral:lncRNA from 1 species